UGGGGAAUAUUGCGCAAUGGCCGAAAGGCUGACGCAGCGACGCCGCGUGGGGGAUGAAGCAUUUCGGUGUGUAAACCCCUGUUGCCCGGGACGAACAAGCAGAUUUUUCUGCUCUGACGGUACCGGGUGAGGAAGCACCGGCUAACUCCGUGCCGGCAGCCGCGGUAAUACGGAGGGUGCGAGCGUUGUCCGGAAUCACUGGGCGUAAAGGGCGCGUAGGCGGUCUGCUAAGCGUGCGGUGAAAGCCCGGGGCUCAACCCCGGGUCUGCCGUGCGAACUGGUGGACUAGAGCACUGUAGAGGCAGGUGGAAUUCCGGGUGUAGCGGUGGAAUGCGUAGAGAUCCGGAAGAACACCGGUGGCGAAGGCGGCCUGCUGGGCAGUAGCUGACGCUGAGGCGCGAAGGCGUGGGGAGCGAACG
rnacentral:rRNA from 1 species